rnacentral:tRNA from 1 species
GCGAGAGUGGCGGAAUUGGUAGACGCGCGGGAUUUAGGAUCCCGUGGCCUUUGGCCGUGGGGGUUCGAGUCCCCCCUUUCGCA